rnacentral:tRNA from 1 species
AGGCUUGUCGCGCAGGUGGAUGGAGCGCACCCCUGAUAAGGGUGAGGUCGGUGGUUCAAGUCCACUCAGGCCUACCA